GUGACAUUGAAAUACAGAGUUUGAAUUGAAAGCGGUGAUGCAGUUCCGUAACGGAUAGAAUAAAUUGUACAACGUAGUAGUAGUUAAUUUGAGAAAGAGUGACAAAAAACUAAUAUUAAAGUGAAUUUAGUGUUAUCUAUAUACCUGUUAAUUUCAUUGUUGCGUGAAUAGAGGAAUUGGUGUACAGAUAAGAUUUUAUAAAUAACCAAUAAAUUUAAUCAAUGAGUGUUGCUUUCGACAAAACAAUAAAAUGUUUUUAUACAAUCGGACUCGAACAACACUUAAAAAAAUACCAAAUAAGUGAUAAAGAAAUCCAGAUUAGUAAAAUGUGUUAUUAAGUAUUAUUAUUAACCCUGUCUCACUAUUUGUUCUGUUAAUUAAUUUUUUAUUUUGUUCCACAGAGUACUCGAGGACCUUUAAUUUUUCCUUAUUAUAUAAUUAUUAGGUUACCUAGUUUUUUUGUUAAGAUUUUAAUUUUUUUGUUAAGAAUUUAAUAUGGGUAAAAUAUGUAUGAUCUUGCAUUGAAAAAUAAUAAAUAUUUUUAUCAUUGUAAAGUUUGU